UGCACCUAGAGUUCCACCCUGCUCAUG
rnacentral:piRNA from 1 species